rnacentral:tRNA from 1 species
ACACUGGUAGUUUGGUGGUAGAAUUCUUGCCUUCCAUGCAGGAGACACGGGUUUGAUUCCAGCCAAUGCA